GUGACAUAUUUAGUACCCACUGUACACAGGGCAUUGUGCUAGCAUUUCUAUGAGUCUUCUUCAACAAGGUGAACAUGAGUCAUGAUGCCAGGAGUUAGCCCCUGGAGCCGGGCAACUACUGGGAAGGACAACUAAAGAAGAGCGGUACCUGGACAGCGGAGGCUGAGACCAAUGCCCUUCAAGUCACACGAGUUACUCUGAUGACGCAGACUCCUACCAUUCCAGGUGGAAGAACGUUUCACAAGUCCAGCUCCAGGGAUAGAGGCUAGCAUUCUGGAACCAACUUCCACAGUGACCUCAUCUCUAUAUGGAAUAUAAGCAUGUUCUACAGCAGACAGCAGAACUCAGCCUUACUGAACCUACUCUAGGUGGGUGACCACUUACAAAGUACACGGCUCCGAAGCUCCCAUGUCCAAUUUCAUGCAAAUCAAUAAAAAGCUCUUCAGGGUCAUCCUUGAAGAACAGAUCGGCAA